AUGAAACACAAGAAUCUCUGGAUCACCAAAAAGCUGUGGCUUUCCCAACACUGUUCAGUCCUGUGGAUGGUUCGGAGUAGAAUACAGAGUAGCCUUGUAGUCAUUACCAUCUUUUUGGAGCUUCACAGGGUCCUGCCUGACACCCUGGAGGAAGAGACACUGAACAUAAAGAGAGCAGGAAGAAUCUGGACAGGAGUGUCAGCUGUGGUGGUUAUGAAUGAGGAAAUUUAUCACAGUUUACUGCACCUCUACCUUCUGUUAGAGAGGAAGAAGAGAGGAAGAAGAGAGGAAGAAGAAAGAAAGAAAAUAAUUUAGGAAACUAACAAUUUCUGCCUCAGUCUGCUCCAACUAGACUACAUUUUCUGGUUUGUUAUUGUUGUUAUUGGUUUGUGAAUCCAGAGCUUUCUGCACUGAGCUGUAUCCCUGGAUUCUUUUUUUAAAUUAUUCUUUUAAAUUUUGAGACAGAAACUCACUAAGUUGCUCAGUUGUCUGGGCUAGGCUCAAACUUACAAUCCUCCUGCCUUAGCCUCCCAGAAGGUGUAUACCACCAAGCCUAAUAAUUAUAUGCUCUUGAAUACUGCUUUACGUAUAGCACAGUCUUUGGUACUUACAGCGCAAUACGUAUUUACUAAAUGAAUGAAGAAACAAAGACUAUAUGGUUAACUGAAAAUGAUUAAUUCUAUAGAAUGCCAAAUUCUAGAAAAUUUGUUACCUCUUCAAGCUUCUUUGUAAAUUCAAGAACCUAGGCUAUACUUUCCUUUUUUCUUACUGCCCAAUUCUUUUUUUUUUUUUGGUACCAGGGAUAGAACUCAGGUCCUUGUGCUUGCUGGACAGGCGGUGAAACCACUGAGCUAAAUCCCCAGCCCUGCCCAAUUCUUAUUGUAGGAGAUAGAGCAGCUUUAGUUGGAAGUCUCAGGGACUUUUUCCAAACACCAUUACAAAGGAGUUUCAUUGCACUGAUAAUGAAAAUUCUUAUUAGUGAACUCUAAAUAUAAAUGUCUAUGCUGGCUGCCAAGAAAGAAAAAUAACCUCCCUCUUAUCACUAGGGAUCUAAGGCUUUUUGUUUCUACAGUCACCAGUAGAAAAACUGACAUGAAGAGAAAAGCAAAAUUUUUUUCAGAUAUGAGAUAGACUAUUUUCUGUAGUCAGCAACUGAACUAUUUUAUAAUUAUAGAUCAUUAUAUAAAGCCCAGAAAGUGAAUUUUAAAAAAAGAACUGCCACAUUUUAAAAUUAUUGUAGAUAUUGCAACAAAAUUUGUCUUUCUCCUUUUUCUUGCUCUUAGGUCAAAUGGACUUUUCUGUAUUUUUAUGGUUUUGCAACAAGGAAAGCCAUUCAAGAUCUUUGCCAUUGGUUUCCCAGGUUGUAAUAUCUAUACUGUACCUCUGUGACACUCUGUAGAAGAAUAUGCUACCAUGUUAGAUUAUGUCUAGAUCUAAAAAUUGCUUAUGGUUAUUUGAUUACUCUAGUAAUAUCUUUAGAAAAUUAUUCACACAUCUGUCUCUAUUCAUUAUAUCAAAAGUAUUUUGAGGAAAAAAAAACACUGUCUUUUUCAAUUUUGAAUCCCCAGAGUAUUCAACAGGAACUGGUACUGUGUAGACAUCCAAUACAUAAUUUUUAAAUUGUAACUAUUUUUAAAAAAUCAUAUUGUCUUUCAUAAGCACUGAGCAUAGUGCUUUGUUCAUAAUAAAUAUUCAUAUGUGCAUUUCUAUUUUGUGAGAGCCCAAAUCAUUUUUACUUUAAUUCCUUCAGGAUUUCUGAAAACUAGAGAAAAUUAGGACCUAUUCUCCCUUCUGUAGAAAUGGCAAAAUACAAUUAUUUUUUGUGGUUAAUAUAAAAUCUUGCAUUUGUACUGUAUAAGAAAUAGUUUGUUUAAAAUAUCUUUAAGACAUUAUUUUAUUGAAGAAUAUUCAUUCAAUUUUUGUUGCAGUUGUUUCUAUAUUUUUAAAACAGUUUAAUAACAGCUUUCACUGAGCAUUUGUCGAUGCAGAUAAUGUCCAGGUGCCAGACUGAUGUUACAAUUUUAUGUUCCUUAAUUUUAUUUUUAAAAUGCAUUUUUAUUUCUUCUGAACAUAAAAGUAAUACAUGCUCAUCACAAAUAAUUAAGUCAUUAUAAAAAAUAUUUCACAGAAAUACCAGAGAUAACAUCUGUUGAUAGUACAGUUAUUCCUACAUAGUACAAUUAUUCCUACAAUUUUUUCUACAGAUUUAUUCAUACAAAUAAUAUUUUGUGCAAUCAUUUAAGUGAAAUUAAAUCAUACUGCAUAUGCUAUUUUACAAUUUCCUCUUUUUCACUUAAUAUUGUAUCUAAACUUUAAGUGUAAAAGAUUUUUCAAGACUAGCAAAUAUAACCCAAAAAUGAAAUCAGUAUAUUGAAAUUCAUUUUCAUUCACAUAUUGAUUGGCUACCAUAUUCACAAUAGCCAAGAUAUGGAAUUAAACUAAGUGACUCUUGCAGAAGAAUGGAUAAAAUGUGCUAAAUAUGUGCAUGAUGAAAUACUAUUUAGAUAUAAAAUGAUUGCAAUCCUGUCAUUUGCAGCAACUUGAAUAGAACUGGAGGACUUUAUAUUAAAUGAAAUAAAUCAGGCACAGAAAGACAAAUACCACAUAUUGUCACUUACAAAUGGCAAUGAAAAAGCUGAUCUUAUAGUAGUAUAGAAUUGUGGUUUCCAAAACCUGAGAAAGGGGAAGGAAUAGUUAAGGAGCACAGGGUGAAUUAUAUAGGAAGAAUGACUCGUAAAGUUCUGUGGAACAGUAGGAUAACUUAUGGUUGACCACAAUUAAUUGAACAUUUCAAAAUAGCUAGGAGAAAGAAAUUUGAAUGUUUAGACACAAAGAAUUGAUACACCAGGUAAAGAGAACUACUGCAUAGUCCUUUAGUAAUAAGAUACUAAGUUGUCGGGUGGGGGAGCAUUUAUGGCCCUAUGAUUAUAUUUCCAUCUUUUGGUGAGCCUAUUCCUCUGGACUGUGAAUAUCACAAGUGUUUCUUAGUCUUCUACCAUCCCAGGUGGGAUAGGAUGGCUAGAAUGGGCUGGUGUUGGAUGUUUUCCUUUCCUCAAGUCAGUUAACUUUUGUUAAAACCCAAGCAGGUUAGGCUCUAAUUAGACAGUAUCUUCUGACAGCAGAUUUGUGUAGAAGAACAGGGUGCUUUGGUUUAUAUCAAAGUAAUUUCUGUCUCCCUCUGCCUCCCAGAAGCAUGAUGGAUUUUUCUCCAAUAUUUUCUAUGAUAACAUAGUCAAGUACUUGAUGACAAAAUUCGUAAAAACAUGAAGAUCCUCUUAUACUUAGGUCCCCUAAAGUAUUUAAUUUAAGGAUGCAUCCACAUUCAGCCUCUAGAAAUUCAGAAAUUACAGUUUAGGUUUUCUACUCCAGCACUGGUUUCUGUGGAUAUUUGGCUUUGGUAUAUUGUGAUUCUCUGUAUCUGCCUGUCUGUCUUUCCAAUUCUGGGGUUAGAAGUUGACCUUGUGGCCUCAUUUCCUUUAUGAUCCCAAGAAGAAUUGUUGAUUUUUCAGUUUGUUCAACUUUUUACUUAGAACAUAGUGGUACCUUCUAAGCUCUUUACAAGGUAAAAGGAAGCAGCCUUAAGUUUAUUAAUUUUCAAGAAUAAAAAGGUAAUAAACAUUCACAAAGCAGCUUUAUUUCACAUCUCUGACAUAUUUCUCAGCCCGUGCUUUCCCACCCAUUCAAGAAAAAAGUUUCUAACUUUAAAAUAAUAAAUUAAAUGCUGAGUGGAAAAAGCUGCAUUACCCGCCAACAAUUGUUCUCAUCGUGGUGGGGCCUCCAAUUUGUGACCAUUUGCAAUGAAUACUGCAUUUCCAACUUGUAGCCAGGCAUGGCUUCUAUUCUGUACCUCUGAAAUGUGAUGCUGUCAUCCUGGGGCAAGGAGAUUGAACCCUUAAGGACAGAUUAUCCAAAGGAAUGAAGUCUGGAUUCCUGAAACAUGGAGCACCAUGCCAGAUAAGAACCAUUUUCUGCACAUUCUAUGAGACAAAACUAAGCAUCCAUCCUUUUUAUUUUUACUUUUCCUUAAAUUCUUUUAUUGGUACAUUUUAGGUAUACGAUACGUUUACAUUUAUCAUUGGGUGUUUGUACCUGUACACGAUGUAUUUUGGUUCUUAUUUUUUUCCCCAUUACCUGUGCGCCCUUCACCCCCUCCACCCUUCCCUAUUUACAUAGAC
rnacentral:lncRNA from 1 species